CCAGCCACUGACUCAGAGUUCCUGAGAGUUUUAAAGAGAACGACAAGCUCUGAGGAAUGAGCGUGUGCCCUGGAGGAAGCAGCACGCUUGGGGCUGGGGGUGCAGAUCAGUGGACAGGGUUCUUGCCUCGCCUGCGGGAAACACUGGGUUUGCCAUCCAGCCCCUCAUCCCUGAAAUCUCAGUACAUAGUGAGUUCAAGGCCAGCCUGGGCUAUGUGAGAGUGUCUCAAAAAAAAAUUAAAUAAAACGGCAUGCUUCAUAUAG
rnacentral:lncRNA from 1 species